GCCACAAGUCACUUCAACUGUCACUUUUCUGUCAUGAAGCUUGCUGUAUGUAAGCUGUACAAACUCUGCCGUCAUCAUCAUAUUCAAGGCGGUGUGGUAAUUGUGUGGAGGACUGCUGCCCUGAGACCCUGAGAGGAAUAUUGUCACUUCCAAAGCCCAUUACAAGCCUGCAAUGGGCUCUAUGAACUGUCCAGAGCAAAGUCAGUCUGUCCUGAUGGCACUACCUGCUACUAUGGCUGCUGCUCUCAACCUGGUG